rnacentral:rRNA from 1 species
CGUGUGUGAAGAAGGCCUUCGGGUUGUAAAGCACUUUCAGUCGUGAGGAAGGUAGUGUAGUUAAUAGCUGCAUUAUUUGACGUUAGCGACAGAAGAAGCACCGGCUAACUCCGUGCCAGCAGCCGCGGUAAUACGGAGGGUGCGAGCGUUAAUCGGAAUUACUGGGCGUAAAGCGCAUGCAGGUGGUUUGUUAAGUCAGAUGUGAAAGCCCGGGGCUCAACCUCGGAAUAGCAUUUGAAACUGGCAGACUAGAGUACUGUAGAGGGGGGUAGAAUUUCAGGUGUAGCGGUGAAAUGCGUAGAGAUCUGAAGGAAUACCGGUGGCGAAGGCGGCCCCCUGGACAGAUACUGACACUCAGAUGCGAAAGCGUGGGGAGCAAACAGGAUUAGAUACCCUGGUAGUCCACGCCGUAAACGAUGUCUACUUGGAGGUUGUGGCCUUGAGCCGUGGCUUUCGGAGCUAACGCGUUAAGUAGACCGCCUGGGGAGUACGGUCGCAAGAUUAAAACUCAAAUGAAUUGACGGGGGCCCGCACAAGCGGUGGAGCAUGUGGUUUAAUUCGAUGCAACGCGAAGAACCUUACCUACUCUUGACAUCCAGAGAACUUUCCAGAGAUGGAUUGGUGCCUUCGGGAACUCUGAGACAGGUGCUGCAUGGCUGUCGUCAGCUCGUGUUGUGAAAUGUUGGGUUAAGUCCCGCAACGAGCGCAACCCUUAUCCUUGUUUGCCAGCACUUCGGGUGGGAACUCCAGGGAGACUGCCGGUGAUAAACCGGAGGAAGGUGGGGACGACGUCAAGUCAUCAUGGCCCUUACGAGUAGGGCUACACACGUGCUACAAUGGCGCAUACAGAGGGCGGCCAACUUGCGAGAGUGAGCGAAUCCCAAAAGUGCGUCGUAGUCCGGAUCGGAGUCUGCAACUCGACUCCGUGAGUCGGAAUCGCUAGUAUCGUGGAUCAGAUGCCACGUGAUACGUUCCCGGACAUUGUACACACCGCCCGGUCACACCAUGGGAGUGGGCUGCCAAAGAAGGUAAGUAGUUUACUCCGGAGGACGCUACACUUGUGUUCAUGACUGGGUGAUCGUACCACAUA